UUUAAAGUCAGUUGUGUCGUUGAUCCACAAGGUGGCGCUGCUGCUGUUUGUAUGCCGUCGAGUCUAAUUAUUUACCAUUUAACAUCUGACUGAGGCGUAAAUGUAAAUUAAUCGAGUUCCUAUCACCGAUCUAGAUAUAAUUCUCUGUUAUAGAUCAGUGGAUCCUAUAUUUAAAAGGUUCAAAUAAAGCGGUUCUUAUUACGUUCAGCUUUUUGUGUCUCAAAACAGAAAUAAAAAGAAGAGACUGUGGGCAGAACUAACUCACAAACAGUAAAGCCAUUGGUUGGCAAUGUGAUUAAUAACAGACACCUGCCAGAGAUUAGAUUAGCAUUAGCAUUAGCAUAACAAACAAGAAACUGCACGAACACAUCAACACACAGAAGUCAUCUCUGAAUGCGGUCUUUUAUGACAGACGAAGAUGUUGUGAGUGAAACAUGAGCUGUGUUUGAGUUUCUUCUCUGUCUGGAGGAGAUCUCUGCUUCAGCUGCUGGAGGUCAGGAGAAGCAGGGAGCAACCGCUGACCCUCGUUGACCUCUGACCUCUUUCUGGACUCUGUGAAACGCACCGAUAGCCUUCGAGCUCUCGGACUCGUCUGAUUCUAGCAGCUCGGACCCGUUCUCUGGGGAAAUGUGUUGACGGGCCGUUUGUUUAAUCAAAUGCUUCCAUUAGAGAACGAUCCGUGCUGUUUGUGUGUAUAAAGUGUGUGCACAAUAAAAAGAUAAAUGUGACGUUUGUGUGCUGUUCAUGAUUUCCAGAGAUCAUCUGAUCGCAGGUCUCCAAACAUUUGCUGUUAGUUCUAAUCAGUAGUUUAAUGUUGUCAAGUAAGGUUUGUGUGCGUCUGACUGUUUGAGAUUUCUCUCUGGAUGAGCUGUGGCUGAUCUGUAGUUUAAAGUUAAAACAGUCCAGUUUAUUUGUCCUUAACAGAAGCGCAUGUCUUCAAAUAAAUGACAUUUGAUCAGUAAAGUUUGUAUCUGAACGGCUGUAAUGUGAUGCAGUUGUGUUGUUAAUCGUUGAGCUGUCUGUGAUUCCGGCACGGACCAAAGAGUCUGGAGCUGAUGUUCAUUUCUGUGAGAAACAAC